rnacentral:lncRNA from 1 species
UUUUCUCUCUCCUAUAGCCUAUUCUCUUCGCCGCUGCCACUGGAAAUUUGAGUCCUAUAGGUAUUUACGACUGACUUCCCCUUUCUCGUAUUUUUUUGUGUUUUGGGUUUGGAUAAAUGGCUUGUCAUUUUUUGUAACAUUGGCUUAGAGGAGAGCUCAAUAGAUUCACUUUCACUAUCCAUUUACAUGUUUUUGGUUUUGGUUAGUCUUACUGACUUAUUUGCCAUCUAUGUUAUUCGAGUUAAAUGAGAUGAGUGUUGGGUGUGAAUUCGAGUCAAAUUAGAUGAGUGUUAGGUAUGCAUAUAUGAAUAUUUUGAAAUUUGAAAUUUAUGCCUGAAUGUUUUGUCAUAAAAAAUUAUAUGUAUAUUGUAUAUUUUAAACUGCUGCUUUCUCUGGAUACAUGUUAUUUCCCUUAAUGUUGCUUAGCGAAUCUCUGUAUAGAUGACCUUGUAUAAUAUUUUUACAGUCAACUGCAGCAGAAAGUAGUCUUUUCGAUCAAUUGAUAAACUGCUGAGAAUUCAAUCCUGAAGCAGCCCCAGUAACUUGCAGCUUUUACUUCCUUGCAGCCUUUACUUCCUUGUGGACUUUAAGAGGUAUGUAUAUUUAAUUUACUAAAUUUAUUAGUUGCAGCAAAUGUUCAUCACUUUCUUAGUUUAAUUAUUAUGAUUAUUAUUAAUUUAAUGAGUCCAUGAAUGAAAUCCAAAUCUGAUGUUAGCUGAAUUUACUGUAAUUGAAUUCAUCACUUUGUUAGCUUAUAUUUUCAAUUUGAAAUGAUUGCAGAAAAUGAUCAAAUUCUCUUGUUUUUUUUUCCUUUCUUAACAAGAACAAGCCAAAUUUAUUUUCUUAUCAGAUAAUAAUUGUUUUUUUCUCUAAGUUAAUUUUUUUAAAAUUGUUUAAUAACACUGUAGUGGCCCAAUUUCGCCCAGGCCCAUACCAAAAUAAAAAGUAAACAAACAAAUUAAAUACAAGUCCAUCCUACAGCAGCCCAAUACAAGCCCAAAUAUUUUUUUUUCAGAAACAACAAACCCUAGGGUACCCCUUGCACUGCAGCCCCACGUUCAGCAUCCCUCCACCAUGCACGUAGGCACAUCAGGCAUGACCCCCAGCCCGCGUUGCACGCCCCACGUUGUGCACUCCUCCUUCACGUCCUCACAGCACCUGCGAUUUGAGCAAAGAAAUAGGCAGAAACUGCUUGUAUUUUGGCUAUAAAUCCUUCGAAUUUUUUCAUUGUAAAGGGGGGAUUUUUGACCCUUUUUUUUUCAGAGAAAUAGAAUAUGGAUACAAUAGCAAUAUACAAGGAAAACAUUAAAAUACAGAGAAAUCAAAUCAAUUGAAAAAGGUUGCGGUUAUUCCUUUUCUAAUUUAUCUUGUUUUUUUCUCUUCUUUUUUUAGUGUGUUCUUACUUUGUGAUUGCAAAAAAAUAACAGAAUAAGGAAGGAAGAGGGCUUACCAGAACACGGCCUUGAAUCAAGGUUGAAAACCCAUUUUUUAAGUGCUGCUAGCCACCGAGUGUGGUGGUGUUUCAGUUUUGCGGUGGGGGGAAAGAACCAAUCGGCGCAUGGAGAUUGGGAUGUAGCCUUAGCAGAGCAAGAAUGGGAACGCUUUUUUUUAAUUUGAUGCAAAUGGUUUUGGGCAAACAAAAUGGUUUAAUAUUUUAUGUAUAAUAAAAUGGUGUUGUUUGGGUUAAAUGGGUAGGAUCUGCACAUUCUAGCCUAAAAUGGGAAAUUUCAUGAUCAAUCCCCAUCUUUUGCACCGCUAUUUAAUUAGGCUCUAUUCAUUUUUCUUAUUUGUUUUUAAAUUUUUGCCCGGGAAUUUGGUGUCAAUUACAUUUUAGUCCGCAUUGAAGCACCGUGUUUUGGAGAUUUGGGUUAUUUUCAUUUUUAAUCCUCGCUCGUUUGUGCAC